GAUGAACGCUGGCGGCGUGCCUAAUACAUGCAAGUCGAGCGAACGGACGAGAAGCUUGCUUUUCUGAUGUUAGCGGCGGACGGGUGUGUAACACGUGGAUAACCUACCUAUAAGACUGGGAUAAUUUCGGGAAACCGGAGCUAAUACCGGAUAAUCUUUUGAACCGCAUGGUUGAAAAGUGAAAGACGGUCUUGCUGUCACGUAUAGAUGGAUACCCGCUGCAUUAGCUAGUUGGUAAGGUAACGGCUUACCAAGGCAACGAUGCAUAGCCGACGUGAGAGGGUGGUCGGCCGCAUGGGAACUGGGACACGGUCCAGACGCCUACGGGAGGCAGCAGUAGGGAAUCGUCCGCAAUAGGCGAAAGCCUGACGGAGCAACGCCGCGUGUGUGAUGGAGGUCUUCGGAUCGUAAUGCUCUGUUAUUAGGGAAGAACAGAUGUGUAAGUAACUGUGCACAUCUUGACGGUACCUAAUCAGAAAGCCACGGCUAACUACGUG
rnacentral:rRNA from 1 species